rnacentral:rRNA from 1 species
AGUGAACGCUGGCGGUAGGCCUAACACAUGCAAGUCGAACGGCAGCACAGUAAGAGCUUGCUCUUACGGGUGGCGAGUGGCGGACGGGUGAGGAAUACAUCGGAAUCUACUUUUUCGUGGGGGAUAACGUAGGGAAACUUACGCUAAUACCGCAUACGACCUACGGGUGAAAGCAGGGGAUCUUCGGACCUUGCGCGAUUGAAUGAGCCGAUGUCGGAUUAGCUAGUUGGCGGGGUAAAGGCCCACCAAGGCGACGAUCCGUAGCUGGUCUGAGAGGAUGAUCAGCGGCACUAGAAGGUAGACACGGACCAUGCGCCUACGGGACGCAGCAGUGGGGAAUAUUGGGCAAUGGGCGCAAGCAUUGCACAGUCAUACCGAGUCGGUUAAAGAAGCCCUCGGGUUGUAAAGACCUUUUGCUGGUAAAAAAAAGCAGCAGGCUGAGACCCCGCUGUUCUGACGGUAACCAAUGAAUAAGCACCGGCUAACUUCGUG